rnacentral:rRNA from 1 species
UGGGGAAUUUUGGACAAUGGGCGAAAGCCUGAUCCAGCAAUGCCGCGUGUGUGAAGAAGGCCUUCGGGUUGUAAAGCACUUUUGUCCGGAAAGAAAUCCUUGGCUCUAAUACAGUCGGGGGAUGACGGUACCGGAAGAAUAAGCACCGGCUAACUACGUGCCAGCAGCCGCGGUAAUACGUAGGGUGCAAGCGUUAAUCGGAAUUACUGGGCGUAAAGCGUGCGCAGGCGGUUUGCUAAGACCGAUGUGAAAUCCCCGGGCUCAACCUGGGAACUGCAUUGGUGACUGGCAGGCUAGAGUAUGGCAGAGGGGGGUAGAAUUCCACGUGUAGCAGUGAAAUGCGUAGAGAUGUGGAGGAAUACCGAUGGCGAAGGCAGCCCCCUGGGCCAAUACUGACGCUCAUGCACGAAAGCGUGGGGAGCAAACAGGAUUAGAUACCCCUGGUAGUCCACGCCCUAAACGAUGUCAACUAGUUGUUGGGGAUUCAUUUCCUUAGUAACGUAGCUAACGCGUGAAGUUGACCGCCUGGGGAGUACGGUCGCAAGAUUAAAACUC